GAUCAAGAAGACAAAAAUUAGAAUAAAUUGUCCUUUGUGAAUUACGGUUUAUAGGAAGAAGAAAAAAUUUUUUAUUCUCAAAAAAAAAACAUCUAGGCUUAGUUAGAAUUAAGGUUUUAUUCUAUUUAGAAAAUAAAUUUAAAAAAAACGAAUUAGAAAAAACAGAGUUUAGAAGUGAAAUGUUUGCGGGUUUUUUUUGUUAGUUUUUGAAGUUUAAAAUAAGAGUUGAAGCUUUUAUUUAGAAGAAUAAUAAAAAUAAAAUUUCAUUUUGUGAUAUUAAUAAAAACUAAAAUAGAUAAAAAAUAAAAUUUCAUAUUGAUUGAGUAAUUUUAAUAAAAGUUGUUUAUUCUGUGAAUAAUAGAAUAAAAUUUAAAUCAAAAUUUAAAGUAGGAUAAAAUAUAAUGUAGACUAUAUUUAGAAAUUAUAAAAUAAGUAUAUAAAAUUUUUAUAAAGAAUUCAAUUGGCUAUCCUACUGUUUAUUAAAAACAUUUUCUUUUUUUUAAAAGAUAGCCUCUGCUCAAUGAAUUUUCUUAAAAAUAACAAAUGUUUAAAUUGCCGCAGUAUUUUGACUGUGCGAAGGUAGCAUAAUUAUUUGUCCAUUAAAUAUGGAAUCGUUUGAAAGAGAGUUGUGAGAUAGUAUUUGUUUUAUAGAGUACAAUAGUUUAGAAAUUAAAUAAAGAGUGAAGAUUCUCUUUGUUUUUAAAACAAGUAAUUAAGACGAAAAGACCCUACAGAGUUUUUAUUUUAAAAAAUAUUGAAAGUUAAAGUUUUAAAUGGGGAAUUAGAAAAUAGAAUAAAAUAUAUUUUUUUAUAUUAUAAAGAAAACUUCCUUAGGGAUAACAGGGUGAUAGUAUUUUAGAGUUCGUAUCAAAGAUACUGUUUACUACCUCGAUGUUGAAUCAAAAUAAAAUUUAGGUGUAGGUGUUUAAAAUUUUAGUCUGUUCGACUAUUAAAAUUUUUCGUGAUUUGAGUUUAGACCGAUGUAAAUCAGGUUGGUUUUUAUCUAAUAUGAUAAAGUGUUGUACGAAAGGACUCAUUUUUAUUUAAAA
rnacentral:rRNA from 1 species